rnacentral:rRNA from 1 species
GACGAACGCUGGCGGCGUGCCUAAUACAUGCAAGUAGAGCGCUGAAGGAGGAGCUUGCUUCUCUGGAUGAGUUGCGAACGGGUGAGUAACGCGUAGGUAACCUGCCUGGUAGCGGGGGAUAACUAUUGGAAACGAUAGCUAAUACCGCAUAAUAUUGACUAUUGCAUGAUAGUCAGUUGAAAGGUGCAACUGCACCACUACCAGAUGGACCUGCGUUGUAUUAGCUAGUUGGUGGGGUAACGGCUCACCAAGGCGACGAUACAUAGCCGACCUGAGAGGGUGAUCGGCCACACUGGGACUGAGACACGGCCCAGACUCCUACGGGAGGCAGCAGUAGGGAAUCUUCGGCAAUGGACGGAAGUCUGACCGAGCAACGCCGCGUGAGUGAAGAAGGUUUUCGGAUCGUAAAGCUCUGUUGUAAGAGAAGAACGAGUGUGAGAGUGGAAAGCUCACACUGUGACGGUAUCUUACCAGAAAGGGACGGCUAACUACGUG